UAUAUUUUUGCUGCUUUCGAUGAGGUUAGUGCCUGAGUAAAUUUCCUUGAUAUUAUUUUAUGUUUGAAUGAACUUUCAUUAGUUGUCUUGUUAGUUAGAAAUUAUCCAUCUCCUUCUGUCUUUACUUUUCAAUUACUUGGAUGAUAGAACAGUUGAAAAUAUGAAUGAGAUGACAUGACUGAAUGAUAUUUUUCAGAAAAAUAAGGAAUUGGUGUUAAAUCAGAACUGCUGCAAAGGACUUCCAAUAAAAUGGAUCUAAUUUCCAAUAAAGUGUGGG
rnacentral:misc_RNA from 1 species